rnacentral:rRNA from 1 species
AUUGAACGCUGGCGGCAGGCCUAACACAUGCAAGUCGAGCGGAUGAAGGGAGCUUGCUCCUGGAUUCAGCGGCGGACGGGUGAGUAAUGCCUAGGAAUCUGCCUGGUAGUGGGGGAUAACGUCCGGAAACGGGCGCUAAUACCGCAUACGUCCUGAGGGAGAAAGUGGGGGAUCUUCGGACCCCACGCUAUCAGAUGAGCCUAGGUCGGAUUAGCUAGUUGGUGGGGUAAAGGCCUACCAAGGCGACGAUCCGUAACUGGUCUGAGAGGAUGAUCAGUCACACUGGAACUGAGACACGGUCCAGACUCCUACGGGAGGCAGCAGUGGGGAAUAUUGGACAAUGGGCGAAAGCCUGAUCCAGCCAUGCCGCGUGUGUGAAGAAGGUCCUCGGAUUGUAAAGCACUUUAAGUUGGGAGGAAGGGCAGUAAGUUAAUACCUUGCUGUUUUGACGUUACCAACAGAAUAAGCACCGGCUAACUUCGUG